CCUACGGGAGGCAGCAGUGAGGAAUAUUGGUCAAUGGACGAGAGUCUGAACCAGCCAAGUAGCGUGAAGGAUGACUGCCCUAUGGGUGGUAAACUUCUUUUAUAUGGGAGUAAAAUGUUCCACGUGUGGAAUUUUGUAUGUACCAUAUGAAUAAGGAUCGGCUAACUCCGUGCCAGCAGCCGCGGUAAUACGGAGGAUCCGAGCGUUAUCCGGAUUUAUUGGGUUUAAAGGGAGCGUAGGUGGAUUGUUAAGUCAGUUGUGAAAGUUUGUGGCUCAACCGUAGAAUUGCAGUUGAAACUGGGAGUCUUGAGUACAGUAGAGGUGAGCGGAAUUCGUGGUGUAGCGGUGAAAUGCUUAGAUAUCACGAAGAACUCCGAUUGCGAAGGCAGCUCACUGGACUGCAACUGACACUGAGGCUCGAAAGUGUGGGUAUCAAACAGGAUUAGAUACCCCUGUAGUC
rnacentral:rRNA from 1 species